rnacentral:rRNA from 1 species
CAAUAGCGUAUAUUAAAGUUGUUGCAGUUAAAAAGCUCGUAGUUGGAUUUCGGGGCAGCCUGGCUGGUCCGCCGCAAGGCGAGUACUGGUCAGCCGCCCUACCUCUCGAAAGCCCCGACUGCUCUUUAUUGCAGUGGUCGGGUAGUUCGGGACGUCUACUUUGAAAAAAUUAGAGUGUUCAAGGCAGGCCUACGCCUGAAUACAUUAGCAUGGAAUAAUGGAAGAGGACCUCGGUCCUAUUUUGUUGGUUUCCAGGACCGAAGUAAUGAUUAAGAGGGACAGUUGGGGGCAUUCGUAUUUAAUUGUCAGAGGUGAAAUUCUCGGAUUUAUGAAAGACGAACAACUGCGAAAGCAUUUGCCAAGGAUGUUUUCAUUAA